rnacentral:rRNA from 1 species
UACAGAGGGUGCGAGCGUUAAUCGGAAUUACUGGGCGUAAAGGGCGCGUAGGCGGUUAAUUAAGUUAGAUGUGAAAUCCCUGGGCUUAACCUAGGAACUGCAUCUAAUACUGGUUAGCUGGAGUGCGGUAGAGGGUAGUGGAAUUUCCGGUGUAGCGGUGAAAUGCGUAGAUAUCGGAAGGAACACCAGUGGCGAAGGCGGCUACCUGGACUGACACUGACGCUGAGGCGCGAAAGCGUGGGGAG